GCCAAGCAGCAUCCAAUGAAAAGAAAUACAGUCCACAUUUCAGACAUAAUUGCACGAGUUUUGUUUCACAGGAUUUGUGAGGAGGGAAUAAUGGUUACAUUCACAAAGGCGUCAGAAUGAAGGAGUGCCUCAUGGUGAUGGGCCCAUUACUAUAUCCGUGGAGAGCUCUGCCUUGCUGGGAUCCCCCACUUUACUCUGGGAAUGAGAAUCACUCAAACAAACCAUAGGAUCAAAGAUCCAAGCGAUUCAAAAAAGGAUUCCAUGUCUGCAGUGAUAGUGGAUGGGGGAAAAUACACUUCAACAACGUGCAAGUGGACAAUUCCAAAUGUUUCCUCAUUUAUCGUGGUGCCUCAAAAAGGCGGUAUCCAUCAUUAAGAAUCCCAUCACCCAGGGCUUCUAAUUGCUACCAUCAGGAAGCAGAUGGUGUGGCCAGAGGCACCAGCAUUCCCGCAGAACGACGACCCAAAGCACACGGCCAGAGCAACUGUGGAGUGGCUUCAAAUGAAGAAAAUUGAUGUCGUUGAGUGUCCAAGAGUCCUGACCUUAACCCAAUCGAACAUCUCUGGCAAGACCUCGAUUGUUGUCCACCAUCGCGCCCGACUAACCUGGCACAGCUUGUGCAGGAAUGGGCAAAUCUUGCUCCAUCACAUUGUGCAAAGCUAAUAGAGACUUAUCCAAGAAGACUAUUGGCUGUAAAUGCUGUGAGAGGUGGCUCAACUAAGUACUGAGCAAAGGAGAAUGAACACUUCUGAACUGCUGAUAUUUCAGUUUUUAUGCUUUAUAAUGUUCCUGGAUUUUUGGCUCUACUGUGAAAAGGAGCAUGUGAUUCACAAAUAAAAAUUCCCAGUUAAAUUGCUCAAAAUCCCUGGUUACAAUAAUCAUUUAUGUGAACAAGGGGUUGUGGGAGAGGGGGGCUGAAUAAAAUUUCAAAGAACCAUACAUUAAGGCUAGAAAGGA